ACCAGCUCAUUCUUGUCAUGUUGUCGUAACCGUAUUACCUCAGACAUACCUCCAAAAUUGUGCUUGUCUUUCCGAGUGGUGGUCUCGGUCUGGUUUUGUAUUUUCAAAUGUGGUCAAGUAACUCAGUGUGUCACCUCUCUGCAUGACUCGAAUGGGAUUCUGGGAAGAUUCCCUACCUGUUAUAUGCGAUGAGAUCACAGAUCACAGGAGUGUGUGUGACAGGGAUCCUUUGAUCAUUGUAUCAGUGGGGAAGAUCACAUUUGCAUCAUGAUGGAAUGUUUUAAUUCUGUUUUAAUUUUACAACUGUACUAAUUCUAAUUAACCAACUACUGGAUCAUGCCAACAUUUUGAGCAGAGCCCACCAAACUGAACGCCUCCAGUAGUCACACCAUUCAAUAACAAGAAACCAUUCAAAAUACUGGAGGAGCGAACCUGUCCCUUUGGAGCUUCUGCUGGGUGCAGCGUGUUCAGUGGGUGAUGCUGUGGAUUUUGCAGCUCACGCUACCAGAGGGGCUGCGCCUCCGUUGCUGGUAAUGCUGCAGUGCGCGACCCAAAGCAUAGGAGAGGUCCAUCCUAUUGUGCCAGUCCCCAGGCACCCAGCAACGAAGCUACUCAUCACAGACAUGGUUGAACGUCUGCUGCAUCCAGACACAGAGCGUGUGUAUGCAGAACUACGAAGGCAGUACUGGAUUUUGCGAGGUUGUCAGGCUGUCGGACACCACCAGCUCAACUGUCCCUCCGGCCAGCGAUGGAGAUUUCAACCUAAGGUCCCUCAGAUGGCAGACUUGCCACCGCAGCACCUCAGACUUCCUUGUCCAACCCUUCUAUUCAACAGGUGUUGAUUGUUUCAGGUCUUACCUGGUCAAGAUAGGAAGGAAGACUGAGAAGCGUUGGGGCGCCUUCUUCAAGUGCCUCACAGCCCACGGUGUCAGCAUUCAUCUAGAAAGAGGCAUAUACUGUGACAAUAGCUACAAUACGAGUUAUAGAAAUAUUCAGUCCUCAUGUAUAGUCCUUAAGUGGCUUUUAUUAAUGCUGGUUAAUGCUAAUUGAGGCAUAGUAAUGACUCAGACAUUUUU